AGAGUUUGAUCAUGGCUCAGAACGAACGCUGGCGGCAUGCCUAACACAUGCAAGUCGAACGAAGGCUUCGGCCUUAGUGGCGCACGGGUGCGUAACGCGUGGGAAUCUGCCCUUAGGUACGGAAUAACUCAGGGAAACUUGAGCUAAUACCGUAUAAUGACUCCGGUCCAAAGAUUUAUCGCCUAAGGAUGAGCCCGCGUCGGAUUAGCUAGUUGGUGAGCUAAAAGCUCACCAAGGCGACGAUCCGUAGCUGGUCUGAGAGGAUGAUCAGCCACACUGGGACUGAGACACGGCCCAGACUCUUACGGGGGGCAGCAGUGGGGAAUAUUGGACAAUGGGCGAAAGCCUGAUCCAGCAAUGCCGCGUGAGUGAUGAAGGCCUUAGGGUUGUAAAGCUCUUUUACCCGGGAUGAUAAUGACAGUACCGGGAGAAUAAGCCCCGGCUAACUCCGUGCCAGCAGCCGCGGUAAUACGGAGGGGGCUAGCGUUGUUCGGAAUUACUGGGCGUAAAGCGCACGUAGGCGGCUUUGUAAGUUAGAGGUGAAAGCCCGGGGCUCAACUCCGGAAUUGCCUUUAAGACUGCAUCGCUAGAAUUGUGGAGAGGUAAGUGGAAUUCCGAGUGUAGAGGUGAAAUUCGUAGAUAUUCGGAAGAACACCAGUGGCGAAGGCGACUUACUGGACACAUAUUGACGCUGAGGUGCGAAAGCGUGGGGAGCAAACAGGAUUAGAUACCCUAGUAGUCC
rnacentral:rRNA from 1 species